rnacentral:rRNA from 1 species
UGAGGAAUAUUGCGCAAUGGGCGAAAGCCUGACGCAGCGACGCCGCGUGGAGGAUGAAGGUCUUCGGAUUGUAAACUCCUGUUAAGCGUGAAGAAAGGUUCUAUCUCUAACAUAGGUAGGACGUGACGGUAACGCUAGAGAAAGCACUGGCUAACCUCGUG